CUUUCUGCGCGCUCUCGGGGAGCGUAGCGUGGCAGUGCGGGCGGCGGCGGCUGCUCGAUGGCUGGCGAGGGUGCGGGGUCGAGGGUGUCCGCGGCAGCGUGUGGGCCGCCCUCCUCUCCCGGAAGAUGGGGAGGUGGCGCGGACCCGGCGGCCGAGCGACGGGGCAUGACCCGCCGGACCCGGUGUGAAGUGGCGCGGUGUGGGAGCCGAGCGCCGUUUGUGGUGUAGAGCUUCGCCCCAUGCCCAGGUGCAAAGCUGCGCGAAAGUGGAGUGAACGUCACAGCCGGAAGGUGGGCGUCUGAAGCGGAUUCUGUUUUUUUCCAGACAACGCGGGAGCACAAAGAUGGUUUAAGGGUGUCCUUGAUUUGAAAAUUUGAUCUCGGAGGCAUGGACGGUUGAAACACUGCAUGGGUGAAUGCACAUUUGUAACAAGGCUAUGAAUAAAUAUUUUUUAUUCUAUGUA